rnacentral:rRNA from 1 species
AGGUUGGCUCAGAAGCAGCCAUCCUUUAAAGAGUGCGUAACAGCUCACUAGUCGAGUGACCCUGCGCCGAAAAUGUACCGGGGCUAAGCCUGAUACCGAAACUGCGGAUUGUAGGAAACUAUAGUGGUAGGGGAGCGUUGUAUACGAGCAGAAGCCGUACCGUGAGGAGCGGUGGAUUGUAUAGAAGUGAGAAUGCCGGUGUGAGUAGCGAGAUGUAGGUGAGAAUCCUACACACCGAAAGCCCAAGGAUUCCAGGGGAAGGUUCGUCCGCCCUGGGUAAGUCGGGACCUAACGCGAGGCCGAAAGGCGUAGUGGAUGGAAAGCAGGCGAAAGAUUCCUGCACCCGUAUAUGGAGCGAAGGAGUGACGGAGACGGAUAGUGUGACCCUCUUAAUGGAUUGAGGGCGAAGCGAAGCGGCUGGUUACCAGGCAAAUCCGGUAACCAAAAGGCUAGAGCGUGACAGGUAAGCGAAAUCUUAGGAAAGUAGCGAAGCACAUGAUGACGGCUUCCAGGAAAAGCUUCUGGCAAUGCAUAUGCGGCCCGUACCAAAACCGACACAGGUGGGCAGGGAGAGAAUCCCGAGGUGAGCGAGAGAACUGUUGCCAAGGAACUCGGCAAAAUGACUCCGUAAGUUAGCGAGAAGGAGUGCUUAAGCAAUUAAGCCGCAGUGAAGAGGCCCAAGCGACUGUUUAACUAAAACACAGCUCUCUGCGAAGUCGCAAGACGAAGUAUAGGGGGUGACACCUGCCCGGUGCUGGAAGGUUAAGAGGAUCUGUUAAGAGCGAUCUGAAGCAGUGAUCCGAAGCCCCAGUGAACGGCGGCCGUAACUAUAACGGUCCUAAGGUAGCGAAAUUCCUUGUCAGGUAAGUUCUGACCCGCACGAAUGGCGUAACGACUUGAGAGCUGUCUCAACAACAUACCCGGCGAAAUUGAAGUACUGGUAAAGAUGCCAGUUACCCGUGAUAAGACGGAAAGACCCCAUGGAGCUUUACUGUAACUUGAUAUUGAAUUUUUGUAUUACAUGUACAGGAUAGGUGGGAGACAGAGAACCAAUGCCGCCAGGUGUUGGGGAGUCGAUGUUGGGAUACCACUCUUGUAAUAUGAAGGUUCUAACCUGCACCCGUGAAUCCGGGUGGGGGACACUGUCAGGUGGACAGUUUGACUGGGGCGGUCGCCUCCUAAAAGGUAACGGAGGCGUUCAAAGGUUGGUUCAGCACGGACGGAAAUCGUGCAACGAGUGCAAACGCAUAAACCAGCCUAACUGCGAGACCGACAAGUCGAGCAGUAACGAAAGUUGGAGUUAGUGAUCCGGCGGUAUGAGAGUGGAAUUGCCGUCGCUCAACGGAUAAAAGCUACCCUGGGGAUAACAGGCUGAUCUCCCCCAAGAGUUCACAUCGACGGGGAGGUUUGGCACCUCGAUGUCGGCUCAUCGCAUCCUGGAGCUGAAGUCGGUUCCAAGGGUUGGGCUGUUCGCCCAUUAAAGCGGUACGCGAGCUGGGUUCAGAACGU